rnacentral:rRNA from 1 species
UACAGAGGGUGCGAGCGUUGUUCGGAAUUAUUGGGCGUAAAGGGCGCGUAGGCGGUGCGGUAAGUCACCUGUGAAAUCUCCUGGCUCAACUGGGAGCUUGCAGGCGAAACUGCCGUGCUGGAGUGUGGGAGAGGUGCGUGGAAUUCCUGGUGUAGCGGUGAAAUGCGUAGAUAUCAGGAGGAACACCUGUGGCGAAAGCGGCUCACUGGACCACAACUGACGCUGAGACGCGAAAGCGUGGGGAGCGAACAGG